AACAGAAUAAAAGUCGAAUAAGAAUCUUUAAUGAUCAGCUUGCAAUCAUCGGCACCCAAGUUGCUAAGCUCAUCUUUUAAUUUUGUUGCAAUCUUCUUCUCAUAAGCAGAUUUGAGAGCUUCCCUUGCCAACUUCUGAUCUUGGUCCGUGUUCUCACCUUGAUCAGUUGAUUGCUUGUAAUCAGGCUGCAAUUUUAGGACAAUCUGUAAAUGUAUCCUGUUCCAGUUAAUUAAAAAGACAAUGCAACAACUUGAGAUACAUCAAUCUCUAAAAGGAUGAAAUGAUAAUCCAUGCACAAAAUUACUUGGGAUGUGAUUGCAUGUGGUUCUUGCUCACACCGUGUCACACGUGUGUUUACAUAUGAUCACAAAUGAAGAUGACUCCAAAGUUUCUCGUAGUGAUAAUGUAAAUGUUUAGGUUGGUGGGGUCUCAUUUAAUUCCAUUUACAUAAUUGUACAAGCGACAUUUUCAGUAAGCCAAGUGAUGUCCUAUCCUAGUCUCAUGUUAAAAGAAACCGAAGAGACUAUACAACGAUGAUGAGUUAACAAAAGCAAACUACCCCCACCACAUAUAAAUUUUACAGUUUUAAAUGUGUUUGUUCAGUGAUAGUAAAAUAUGAAGAAAAAAAAAGUAGGAUAAAAAUUACCAUUUGCAAGAUCAAGUAAGAGAUCGGCUGGAUUGACAGUCACUGACGUAGAGAAACCAAUGGAGGAAAAGUAUUCCAAAGUUGUAGAAGCAGGGCCAUUAUAGAUUGGGCUGCCUUCAGAGAGUAAAACUACUUUAUCAAACACGUGGUAAAGUCUGCUGGAUGGCUGAUGAAUGGUGGUGAUGAUGGUUCGGCUGCUAUUUGCCAGCCGUUUGAUAGUUGUCAGGAUUCUUUGAGCCGUGGUUCAGUCCAAUCCUGAGGUUGGCUCACCAAGCAUGGAUUGAUUAGCAUUUCUUGAGCUAUCUCUUCUUUUCCCCCCCUGAUAUUCCUUGCACUAGUGGGCCUCCUAUCAUGCUAUUCCGGCACCGUAUUAAUCCCACCUCAUGCUAUGCUAGCAGGCCAGCAUAGCUAGUAUUUCUCCUGGACAAACCGAAAGACAGGUCUCAAGUCUCAACACAGGAGAAUUUUUUUUUUUUUUUUAGCUGUAGACGAAUAAUAAUAUUCUGAAAAAGAGGGGCCUGGCUUCAACACACUAAUAAAAUUGUGAUUUGUUUACUAGAGAAAGCAAAAUAUUAAAGAUGAAAUGGGUUGUCAAAAGAGUGAGUGAAAUAAAUUAAAGUGAAAGCAAUGGCUCCUUACUCCCUUUUCCAUGCAAAGCAAAAACUGAUUCUUUUAAUCUCUAUUCUCUUCCUUUUUUUUUUCCUCCUUUUAGUUAAUUUAUUGUAGUCUUCAACAUUCAUAUCACCGAAAUUCGAUAUGACCAUUGCAUUUAUCAUUGCUUAUUGUUUACGUAUUAUUAUUUCUUGAAGAUUAAUCGCUUGAAGAUUCUAUAUAUCCUAUGCCAAGCUAAGUCAUCUCUAAUUUAUAAUUCCUUUUUUUUUCGUUAAUUUAUUUUAUUAUUUUAUGCUGAAUAAGAGAGAGAGAGAGAGAGAGAAAUGAUUAAAGGAAAAGAACCCUCAAUCUGAUUCCAAUUUCUUUGCAGAACACUGAGAAUGAAAGAAGUAUAAUGGGGGGUCGAAAGUGGAGCCAGCCUUUUCAAUGAUCAAAGACUUUAGAGUUUUGGCUACUUGACAUUGUUGGGUGCGUAUCAUUUUUUUGAGCGCACCCCUUUCUGCUCCCCCAACUUGUAUAUAUAUCAUGCAUUCAAUAAAAAUUUUCACUUUUUCUUGUGUUUUGUGCUCUUGCUUUUUUGAAAUAUUCUUUCUUAUUCCAUUGCUUUCUCAUUGUAUCUCUAAUUUUAUCAAUACACUAUUUUUUUUUUUUUUUUGGGAAGAUCUAUACACUAUUUAGCUAGCUAGCAAGCUAGCUUCAUUUUUGCAUGAAUUAUUCUCACUAGUUUUUUGGUUUCUAUAUUAUUUAUCAAUAACCCUUUUAUAGUUGUGCUAGCAUAUUAUUUAUGAGGGCAUCUUUAGCUUAACUAAUGACUCUUUGUAGGUGAGCUCUAGAAUAUUAUAUAAUCAUGUCAAGUAUUUUCAUUUCACAUCAAAUUGCAAAUGUUGUUUACUGCUAAAAGAGAUAACCAAAUUGAUCGAUCCAUGAAUCAACCAACUUGCAUCCAUUAUUUUAAACUUUUUAAAAAAAAAUCAUGCGUCCAGAUAGAUAAUGAAAUUUUGUAGCUAUCAUUAUAAUCAAAUAGAGAAAAAAGUUUCUCUUAUUGCUAUUGAUUUUGACCAACUUAUUCCAUAACCGUGUGCUUGGCUUGGCAAUUCUUUUUUAUUUCAUCAUAGUGGAAACUGCUCUUCUCUAGAUAUAUUGAGAAUGACAUGCACUUAGUUUUCUAAUUUCACAACUAGCUCCCGAGCUAUCAUUAAUUAGAUAUUUUGUAAGGUACAUCUAGGUGCAACUUUGUUAGUGAAUGAGAGAAAAGGUGAGAAUUGAGAUGGUGAUUAAAGUUGACGAUAAUGAAAUGUUAAGUUAAUCUCACCAUAAAUAAUUGCAUCAUUUAAAAUAAUAAAAGUCAUUAUUCUUUUUAAAGGUGUGUGUGUAUAUAGAUGUGGACUCUGUUCUUGACACUGUUAUUGUAUAGUUUCUUUAUAAUUUUGUAAUGCACUAAGCCCCUUGAUAAUGAUAUAAAAGGUCGACAAAGUAUGAAUGUCCACACUUAUUAGGAGUCCAUCUUUGAUGAACACCUAAAAAAAAAUUUAAAACUUCAAACUAAAAAUAUUAAAGCUAAAAAUAAUAUUGUCUAACUUCAAGAAACCACUAUUUUUUUCUUUUUCUUUUUUUUCCUUCUUCAAGUAAUCACUAUUUUUUCCUUUUUUUUGGUCUUUUAAAUUAGUUGCUGCUAGUAUUUUUCGAACACUCGUAUAUGGGAAUUUAUAAUUUUAUUAAAAUAUUAAACAUUUAAGAGAAAACAAAUGGGCAUAACAUAGCUCCAACAGAUUCAUGAAACUCUUUGGAGGGCUGGGAAAAGAAUUAAAAAUUGAAUUAAGUAAAAAUUAAUGAAAGCGAUACCCAUUUAAAAGUUCUUUAUAAUUUUAAAAUGAUUCAAAAAAUUUCAAACAUAUAUUUAAAACUGGGGCCAGUUAGAUGUGUAGUAUAAGUGAGUUUGAGAAUAGAGUUAGGAAGUCGACAAGUGGUAAGCACUCCCAGUUUCUAGUGGCCGUAAGCCCCCCCGCGAGGGGUGGGGGAGUUGGAAUUUUUUUGUGUCGUUUUAUGCUUUCAUCGAUUGCGUUUACACAACCAAAUCAUUUGGUGGUGGAGGUAUCCCACUUAUAAUAAUUAUCUAUAAUAAUCUUCCAUUAGAUUUCUUUUUUUAAUUUUUAAGUUAAUUAUUGUCAUUAUGAAAUUAAUAAUGAAAAUCGGAUUUCCUCCAAACUUUCAAUCUCUAUUUUCUCUGUCUUUUGGGGUUUAGUCUUUGAUAUCUCUUUCUCACAUUUUCUCAUUAUAAUUGUUGCUUUAACGACCUUAAUCUUUUUGUUGAUCACCUCAAAACUUGUUAAUUAUUAAUUCUUGUUGAUGGUAAAAUGUAGACCAGGACACUGAGGCAUGAUAUAUAGGGAACAUAACUUAAGGUCGUGAUGAAGAAUGAAGGGAAAGCUAAAGAGGGAGGAUGAAAUGAGAAGAUCUCAAAGAAUUAGCAUCAGCUGCCAUAAAUCGUUUAAGGAUAACAAAAAAUGUCUCCUACAUUAUGCCCGCAUCACCAUAUCCUCCCACAUUAUGCCUGCAUAAUCAUAUAUCAGUACGGGACCACUGGACAAUAGCAACCUCACCAAUGCUAACAUGAAUUGUUACUACAACAUGAUCCCUAUUUGGAUUAUCUCCAAAAUAUAUCCUUAUAAGUAGCUGAAGUCAGAAUUGAGUAUAGGGGACCACAAGCAAAACCACCUACACAAUCUCUAAUGAAAUAAUGUGCUCCUCAACCCAAUUGAUUCAUUUUAAAUGGGCCAAUCAGAGGUAAGGACAUGCUGUCAAUACAAAUUGUCCUCAAAACGCGGACUAGACUCAUAAUGCGAAGACUAGACUCAUAACGCGGUGUUUUUAUCCUAAAAACUAAAUACAUUAUAAUUUUGUUAUAAAAUUUAACAAAAUGGUGAUAUUAAUUAAUAAAUAAAUGGAAAGAGAUUUUGUUUGUAAUCAUAGAUGAGAAAAAAAAAUGCCGAUACUUUUUUUUUUAAUAUUUCUUUGGACUCAAAAUGGGGUUGAUUGAUAUAACUGGAGCGAAAUAAUUAUAUGGAUGUGAUGAGACAUAUUGGUUGUCUCAGUAUCAUAUCUUGCUUUUUGUCCACUGGAAAUCUUUCCACGCUUCUUCGCACAAAUUACUACGCGUAAGGGAAAAAUCUUGAUUGGUUGUGACAUCAAAUUUGAUGAGCAUUUGCAUUUUGUUGAUGAAACAGUGCAAUAAUUGUAAUAUUCGUGGACUAACACUACACCCAGUUUUUAUUUCUUUGAUUUCGAUUAAUUCCUUUAAUUAUCUAUGGCGACUUUUUAUAUUUGACUAGUGACGUUCAUUACUAGUUUGGAAUCCAUUCAUAUCUGUUACCAACUCAGACAUCUAAACUAAAUGGGACGUGCUAGCUUCUAAUUAGUUGAGGAAGAAGCAAAAAAUCUCCACAUAUACGAGGAGUAGGAAUCUGUUUGGAUUCUACUACAUCAGUUAUGAUUUGGCGUAAUUUAAUUAGAUAUCUAAAAUUAAAAAGGAUUAAUUUUGUGUUCAGAUAGUGAACGCUUAUUUAAAUUAUUUAUUAUUUGUGAAAAAGAAAAGGAGUUAUCAUCCGACUAAUAAGUGGUAUGUUCAAUGAUGAUUGACAUUAAUUAAAUUAUCUUCUUCAAUUCAACAACAUCUAGGUUGAAUUAUUAAAAAAUGAUGAUAAGAUUUAGAUUGUUAAAUCUUCUUAUAUCCAAUUAUUUAAGACGAAUGUAAUGCUUAAGUUAAGUUGCAUGCUUACAAGAAACACAGAUAGAAAGCAAAAGGGUCAAAACAACAUAAUUGGAAAGAUGUGUUAUGGUGGUUAAUAAUUAUAUGCAUUGCAUUAACUUAAAGGUCACUUCUAGAUGCAUCCGCGAUUUAUCCACACUUGGGUUUAAAACGCAAAUAAGAGUUCAUUAAGUUAAAGCAGCAAUUACAUUACGUUUACAAAUUAAAGAAACAAACAAAACGAAAAGAAAGUCAUCAAACAGAAAGAGAAGAAGCUGGCCACAUGCUGAGGACACAAGUGACAUAAAUGUAUUUAUUCUCAAAUAAUUGAAAACAAAAUUAAACCAAAGUAACAACACAUAGAUGAAAUUAAAGGUGUGCGUUGUCGAUAGAUCUUUUUUUUGUAUGUUUUGGUGAGUGUGAUUCGCAUUGAGCACACCCCAUGUGACAGAUACCAAAAUCAUGCCAAUAUAUAUCAUCAAGAUUAAAAAAUAAAAUAAAAAAAUCGUGCGUGUGUGUGUGUGUGAUGCCAAAUAUUAUUCUCAGUAGUGGAGAUGAUGUGGAGGAGGAGAAUGACAAGUAAGCAAUAGAAAAUAAAAUAAUGCAAAAAGCAAGUUAGGGUUUUGCUUUUAAGAUUUUGUAGGGCAAGAAGGACCCACACAAUGAAUCAUGAAAAUAAUGCAAAAAGCAAGUUAUGGUCUUUUGAUUCUCUUCGUUAUUUGUACUCACAAAUCACCCACUACUUCAUCAUCUUCCAUUUACUCACAUUUCCAUGUACAUAUUUUGAGUAAAAAAAGAAAAGAAAAGAAAAGAAAUGCCCUAUGUCUAGUCCUCCAUCUAAAUAAAAGAAAUGCCUAUGUAUAUCAAUUUUAUAUGAAACCGGAAUUAGUCAUAUUAUGUGAUCAAGUCAUGUAGUAUAUUAGCAAUAACAUAGAAGGAAUUAUUUAAUAGUCGAUGGUAAACCAUUAUGAAAAUAAUUUUAGGUAUUAAUAUGUAUUAGUGGGGUUGAUUUUCUUCUAAAUAUUUACAAUCCACUAAGUCAAUUUUACUCUAAAAUAUCCAAACUUUAUCAUCCAAUAAUGAUUCGUGGUUUUUGGUAAACUUAUGACAUACCUAAAUAUAUACAAAAUUCAAAAGAAAAUUAAUUAUUAAAGGAUCGCGAAGGGAGAUAGCUAGAACUCUUAGGUUGUUGUAAGUGGAACUCAUAUACUGUAUGAUAACUGAAAUCAUUAUUACGUGGCUUGAAAAUCUUUGUUGCAUAUAAUUUUAAAUCCAACUUAUAAAGCAUGCGGAUUAGCUCUUUUCAUUUUCAUUCUCACGUAAGCAUGAGAAGUUCAUUAGCACUUAAUGAUAAUUAAAAUUAACUUCAACUAAAUUUGGUUCAUAUAUGUCAUCCUAUUAUAAAUCAAAUAAAUAGAUAAUCAAUUGAUCAUUUUAGGUUGCUGUAGUAGCUUCCACUUGUGCAUUAGCAAAUAGCAACUAUUUUCUGUGCAAAAAGGCAGACUUAAACUGAGACCUAAGUAAAAUAAUAAUGUUGUUUCUUUCUAUACACAAAUCCAAUGCAAUCAAAUAAAGAACUCAAAUCUUUUUUAAAAUCACAUCUGUUUAUCAAUUGUCGAUGAUCUCAUCUUCAUAGUCACUUGUAGCCGAAAUCCACAUAGUUGGACUAGCUAGCCAGAUAUAGGUUUCGGAUCAAGAUCAUGAAAUAGGUUUUAUGGAUUUUGUUUAUAGGUUUUUUAUUUGACUGGCCAAUUAUACAUAUAUUCAUUGGUGGCAGUGAUAAUGGAGAAAUUGUCUGGCAAAGAUAAAGAUAUGAGAGAAGAGAAAGCUAGUUUUUGAAAAAAAAAAAAAAAAAAAAAAAAAGGAAAGAAAAAUACAGUUACUCAGUUGUUGUCCUUGUCAUAAUAUAUAUAAGCAGAGAUAAUUAAUGGCUAUAAUAUGAACAAGGAUAAAAUUUAGGUUUGUGCGGAAUGGUGGGCAUGCUUACGAUUACAAUAUGGUUACUAUUGAUAGGUCACUCUUAUAACAUGCACACGAAAUCGCAUUAUCAUUACUUACCCCUCCUGUUUAAUUAUCAAAAGCCAUAGGAAACUGGCACAAUUCUAAUGGAAAUAACCACACUUGCUUUUUUGACCAGAACAUCAAAGUGAAAAGAACGAUUUUUUCAUCUUCUCAGAUCUCUUCAUCUAAAAUGAAAGUAAAAAUAUAAACAGAAUAAAAGUAAAAAAGAAUUUUAAUGAUUCUCUAUUCUCCUCUUUUGAAUACGUCUGGUGGUUCCUAAAUCACUCAAUUUUCUUUGUUGUUGUAAUCACUGGACACUCUUUUCGUUUGAUAAGCCCCAGUUACCCCACAAAAUGUCUGGCUUUGAGUUCUGCGGAAGCCUAGUGGCUUCAAAGGUCUGGUUGCUAUAUUUUAUCUUUCUUGCAAAUGUGCAAUGCAUGUGUCCUUUUCUUUGCAGAAUAUCCAUUGGGUUGACAAUGCAACAAAUUAAUAAAUUUAUUCUGAAAUUAAGACUUGUUAGUAUUAUCUAAGCGAUCUAACAAAAAGGCUAGUACAUCGACUUACAGAAAAGUUGAUCAAAAUGAUCUCACAUGAUUCCCGUCUAACCCUAACAUUAUUCCUCAGUUUGAAGAAGGAGAAAACUCUUCAACUGUCACGUUCAAAUGGCAGUAGACCUAUGCUAAAUUGACCUUAAUGCACACGACGCAGUGCCAUGUAAGCAAUCAGUCGAUAUCCCACUAACAUCAGGGCCAUGAUGCACACAUCUGCCCACAAAUUGUUCAGUCCCAUUGAUCUUACAGCAGGAUAGUCUGCAACCCGGCACAACUCUCCCUUUGAGCACUCAUAAUAGUCAUCAUCAUCAUACUGAAUCCCGAGUAGCAUCUUGUAACAGUAGUAGCUAUAGCUCAGGUACUUGAGCCAGAUUAUGAAUGGUGGGAUCUGUUGGACAUAGUAUCCUCCAGCCAUUAGGAAAACAAGAGUCGUGACAGAAGCUAAAGUAGUGGCUUGUUUGACAUCCAUGAGAAUAGCUCCAAUUGCUAAACCAAGACCUUGUGCUACAAGGACUGAGUAAAGAACCGCCAGUAAGGAUAGAAUAAAAGUAACAGGAUCGGCUUUAAGGCCACCCAUCCAAUAUAUUAUGAAAACAAACGCUGUUGGAAGGGCUAGUUCUAAUGGCAGGUCUCCGAAUGUUCUGGCUAAGAAGUAUGAUGAAAGGCGAUACAUUCCAGAUGAUCUUUCCUUUAUUAGCAUUGUUCUCUCUUGGGGAAAUGUAAAAACAGCAUUGUAGAGGGGAUAGAACCCCCAGAACACAGAAAAAAAGAAGAGCAAAGCUACCUGCAUCCGAAAGGAACGCCUGAUUUAGUGUCUAUUAGUUAUCAAAACUAUAGAGUAUUAAUCAAACAAUUAGGCGUGUAAUCUAUGAACUAAAUUAGAAUUCUUACUCGGUCUUCGAUGUGAGAAGUCGGAGUGUGCCACCACAGGAGUCCACCAAGCACAGCAACACUGAUGACUUGGAAAAUUCUAAGCUUGUUGAAAGCUUCAAACCUUCUCUCCCUCACUCCCCUUUGGAGCAGCACUUUGAACUGAUGCCACCAGCUUGUGGACCACUGCUCUGCUUUCCUUCCAUUUUCUGCAUCAUUUCAGAAUUAAUAAUUCAGAUUAACUCAAAAAGAGAAGAAAAUAAAAAUAGGAGACGUUUUAACUUGACGGGUGAUAAGAGCAGAGGUAGUAAAGGAGAGAAAAUUACUUGCAGAAGCAUUUUUCGUAGAGUUGCAAUCAAUGGCACCCAAGUUGCUAAGCUCGUCUUUUAAUUUUGUUGCAAUGUUCUUCUCAUAAGCAGACUUGAGAGCUUCCCUUACGAACUUCUGAUCUUGAUCCGUGUUCUCACCCUGCUCAGUUGAUUGCCUGUAAUCAGGGCUUACUCCUGUAAUUUUAGGACAAUCUGUAAAUGUCUGAUGUUCCAGUUAAUUAAAAGACCAUGCAACAACUUGGGAUACGUCAAUCGCUACAAGGAUGAAAUGAAAAUCCGUGCACAGAAUUACUUGGGAUGUGAUUGCAUGUGGUUCUUGUUCACACCGUGUCACGCGUGUGUUUACAUAUGAUCACAAAUGAAGAUGACUCCAAAGUUUCUCGUAGUGAUAAUGUAAAUGUUUAGGUUGGUGGGGUCUUAUUUUAUUCCAUUUACAUAAUUGUACAAGCAACAUUUUCUGUAAGCCAAGUGAUGUCCUAUCCUAGUCUCAUGUUAAAAGAAACCAAAGAGACUAUGCAGCAAUGAUGAGUCAACAAAAGGAAACUACCCCCACCACGUAUAAAUUUUGCAGCUUUCAAUGUGUUUGUUCAGUGAUAGUAAAAUAUGAAAAACAAGUGGGAUAAAGUUUACCAUUUGCAAGAUCAAGUAAGAGAUCGGCUGGAUUGACAGUCACUGAUGUAGAGAAACCAAUGGAGGAAAAGUAUUCCAAAGCUGUAGAAGCAGGGCCAUUAUAGAUGAGGCUGCCUUCAGAGAGCAAAACUACUUUAUCAAACAUGUGGUAAAGUCUGCUGGAUGGCUGAUGAAUGGUGGUGAUGAUGGUUCGGCCGCUAUUUGCCAGCCGUUUGAUAGUUGUCAGGAUUCUUUGAGCCGUGGUUGAGUCCAAUCCUGAGGUUGGCUCAUCAAGCAGUAGCAAGCAUGGAUUGAUUAGCAUUUCUUGGGCUAUACUUACUCUCUUCUUUUCCCCUCCUGAUAUUCCUCUCACCAGUGGCC
rnacentral:lncRNA from 1 species